AGGAAUGUAGCUCAGUUGGUAGAGUGCUUGUCUGGCAUGCAUAAAGCCUUGGGUUUGAUUCCCGGCAUUUCAU
rnacentral:tRNA from 1 species